CCUACGGGAGGCAGCAGUAGGGAAUUUUCGUCAAUGGGCGCAAGCCUGAACGAGCAAUGCCGCGUGAACGAGGAAGGUCUUCGGAUCGUAAAGUUCUGUUGAAGGGGAAAAAGAGCGGAGAGAGGAAAUGCUUUCUGAUUGAUAUUACCCUUCGAGGAAGUCCCGGCUAACUACGUGCCAGCAGCCGCGGUAAUACGUAGGUGGCGAGCGUUAUCCGGAAUGAUUUGGCGUAAAGGUUGCGUAGGCGGCCUGCUAAGUCUGGAGUGAAAGGUACCGGCUUAACCGGUACAGGCUCUGGAAACUGGCGGGCUAGAGGGCAGGAGAGGGCGGUGGAACUCCAUGGGUAGCGGUAAAAUGCGUAGAUAUAUGGAAGAACAUCAGUGGCGAAGGCGGCCGCCUGGCCUGUUAACUGACGCUGAGGCACGAAAGCGUGGGGAGCAAAUAGGAUUAGAUACCCGUGUAGUC
rnacentral:rRNA from 1 species